GAUGAACGCUAGCGGCAGGCCUAAUACAUGCAAGUCGAACGGUAACAGGGUAGCAAUACCGCUGACGAGUGGCGCACGGGUGCGUAACGCGUAUGCAAUCUACCUUCAACUAGUGAAUAGCUCGAAGAAAUUCGGAUUAAUACACCAUAGAAAUAUUGAUUUGCAUCAAUUGAUAUUUAAAGCUCCGGCGGUUGAAGAUGAGCAUGCGUGACAUUAGCUAGUUGGUGAGGUAACGGCUCACCAAGGCUAC
rnacentral:rRNA from 1 species